rnacentral:misc_RNA from 1 species
CCUCGCGUCGGCCACAGAGGGCCAUGCCCACCGGCGGCGUACGA